UAGGCGAAUGCUUGUUGGUUUAAGCCUUUAAUUGUUAAUUAAAAAUUUGCAGGAUCAAAGCCUGCUCGUCUAG
rnacentral:tRNA from 1 species